rnacentral:rRNA from 1 species
AAUCCAUAGGUUAAUGAGGCGAACCGGGGGAACUGAAACAUCUAAGUACCCCGAGGAAAAGAAAUCAACCGAGAUUCCCCCAGUAGCGGCGAGCGAACGGGGAGGAGCCCAGAGCCUGAAUCAGCAUGUGUGUUAGUGGAAGCGUCUGGAAAGGCGCGCGAUACAGGGUGACAGCCCCGUACACAAAAGCGCAUGUGCUGUGAGCUCGAUGAGUAGGGCGGGACACGUGGUAUCCUGUCUGAAUAUGGGGGGACCAUCCUCCAAGGCUAAAUACUCCUGACUGACCGAUAGUGAACCAGUACCGUGAGGGAAAGGCGAAAAGAACCCCGGCGAGGGGAGUGAAAAAGAACCUGAAACCGUGUACGUACAAGCAGUGGGAGCACAGGUUUACCUGUGUGACUGCGUACCUUUUGUAUAAUGGGUCAGCGACUUAUAUUCUGUAGCAAGGUUAACCGUAUAGGGGAGCCGUAGGGAAACCGAGUCUUAACCGGGCGUUAAGUUGCAGG